rnacentral:rRNA from 1 species
GACGAACGCUGGCGGCGUGCUUAACACAUGCAAGUCGAACGGAAAGGCCCUGCUUUUGUGGGUUGCUCGAGUGGCGAACGGGUGAGUAACACGUGAGUAACCUGCCCUUGACUUUGGGAUAACUUCAGGAAACUGGGGCUAAUACCGGAUAGGAGCUCCUGCUGCAUGGUGGGGGUUGGUAAGUUUCGGCGGUUGGGGUUGGACUCGCGGCUUAUCAGCUUGUUGGUGGGGUAGUGGCUUACCAAGGCUUUGACGGGUAGCCGGCCUGAGAGGGUGACCGGCCACAUUGGGACUGAGGUACGGCGCAGACUCCUACGGGAGGCAGCAGUGGGGAGUAUUGCACAAUGGGCGGAAGCCUGAUGCAGCAACGCCGCGUGCGGGAUGACGGCCUUCGGGUUGUAAACCGCUUUCGCCUGUGACGAAGCGUGAGUGACGGUAAUGGAUAAAGAAGCACCGGCUAACUACGUG